rnacentral:misc_RNA from 1 species
GAUGAAGAACGUAGUGAAAUGCGAUAAGUAAUGUGAAUUGCAGAAUUCAGUGAAUCAUCGAAUCUUUGAACGCACAUUGCGCCCCCUGGUAUUCCGGGGGGCAUGCCUGUCCGAGCGUCAUUACAACCCUCAAGCUCAGCUUGGUAUUGGGCCCCGCCGCUCCGGCGGGCCCUAAAGUCAGUGGCGGUGCCGUCCGGCUCCGAGCGUAGUAAUUCUUCUCGCUCUGGAGGCCCGGUCGUGUGCUCGCCAGCAACCCCCAAUUUUUUUCAGGUUGACCUCGGAUCAGGUAGGGAUACCCGCUGAACUUAAGCAUAUCAAUAAGCGGAGGA